rnacentral:rRNA from 1 species
GACGAACGCUGGCGGCGUGCUUAACACAUGCAAGUCGAACGGAAAGGCCCUGCUUUUGUGGGGUGCUCGAGUGGCGAACGGGUGAGUAACACGUGAGUAACCUGCCCUUGACUUUGGGAUAACUUCAGGAAACUGGGGCUAAUACCGGAUAGGAGCUCCUGCUGCAUGGUGGGGGUUGGAAAGUUUCGGCGGUUGGGGAUGGACUCGCGGCUUAUCAGCUUGUUGGUGGGGUAGUGGCUUACCAAGGCUUUGACGGGUAGCCGGCCUGAGAGGGUGACCGGCCACAUUGGGACUGAGAACCGCCCGAGACCCCUGCGGGAGACAGAAGGGGGAAAUAUUGCACAAGGGGCGGAGGCCGGAUGCAGCAACGCCGCGUGCGGGAUGACGGCUUUCGGUUUGAAACCCUCUUUCGCCGGUGACAAAGGGUGAGUGAGGGUAAGGGGUAAAAAAGCCCCGGCUAACUACGUC